UCGGGGUUAGCUCAGUCGGAAGAGCGCUCCACUGCAAAUGGAGAGGUCUCUGGUUCCAUACGAAGACCUUGCG
rnacentral:tRNA from 1 species